GCAUCCCCAAAACCCCUUCUCUCUCGCCUUUCUCUCUUCUUUGCAUUCCCAAAACCCCUUCCCACCUGACCCUGACCCUGUAACACCCACCCCCUAUUUAUAAAAUAUAUUGAUGUAUUUAACCCCUCAACGUUUUCAAUAUAUCUAUUGGGUCCUAUUUUAUCUACCCAAUCAGGAUCUAAAGCAUUGGAUUCUUUCUCCCUCAAGCUGCCACGUGGCAGCACCCCAAUUAUUCCCUCACUUCUCUCUCUGUCCCCCCCCCCACGUGAACCUCUUCCUUCUUCUUCUUCUUUUCUGUUUUUCCUGUCUGUCCCGGCUCUCUCCCUCUCGGCUCUCUCUCAUAUCUUUCUUCUCUUCACUCAACCGCAAGCACACACAUGCACACCAUCUCCCCUGGGCGAGGAAGACCCAUCGCCAUCAUCAAUCUCAUCCUGCUCUCUCUCCCUCUCGUGUCUGCGAACCCAGAAAACCGGAAAGGAUCUCCGGCGAGAUUUUUAUAUUUUCCGGUUAGGUAAGCCUCAAAUCCCUAUCUUUUGUCCUAGAAUCUUGUGAGAAUGGUUCUAAUUGGUUUUAUUUCGUGAUUUUGGGAGGUUUUUAGGACGAAAUCACCACGGGUGUAGGCACACCCAUCUCCGGUGACCUCGGGAGUGUCGAGGGAGAUUCCGGCCAUCUUCGGCCGUUCCACGACGAAAGGAAGGUGCAAUUAUUAACGGUGAUUCCGCUAUACCUUUUUGGUACAACUUUGCACCAUCGGUGUACGGUGCAAUUAUUAACGGUGAUUCCGCUAUACCUUUUUGGUACAACUUUGCACCAUCGGUGUACGAGUAAAUAGGUAGAAAAAUUAAACAUUUGUACGUGGCUUUAUCAAGAGGAGUUUCAACGUCUACAAUAAAAGUCUUGGUAAAGAAAGAAGAAUUACACGGUCACAAAGGAGUCUUCACAAGAAAUGUUGUGUACAAAGAUAUUUUGCUACCCCCGAAUUCAACAUAAGAUGAUGAAAGGUAAGUUUGAAAGGAGAAAGGGUUGAAGUGGUGUCUGGUUAGAAGGAGAGAGAUCCAUGGCAGUUGGCACGACCAUGGCCACGGCCACGAAGAGGAGACAUUGUUGGCGAUAUCGAAGCUUCUCAAGGAAUUGAUCAAGGAGGAGGACAUGAAAGUACAGAUUUGGAUUUCAUCAGCAUGACCAAGAUCAUGAGCAUUUUGAUUGUCUGCAGCUCUCAGUUCUUGGUAUUUCUUCAUACAUUUAAUCUGGUUGAAUUUUUUUAUUUUAUGGGUUUGGAAAUUCAAAUUUUUUUUUUCUGCAAUUUAUAUUUCCAUUGAAGUUUUUGAAAUGUUAUGUUUGGUUGCCAGUAUGAUUACUUAUAGACUAUUUCGCCAUAUGCAUUUGCUACAAAAUGUAAACUUAUUUUAAAUGAAACAUGUUGAAGUCUAUU